rnacentral:lncRNA from 1 species
AUCGAGGGCCGGUGGUCUGCUUUGCCGGAGAAGAGCAGCAGUGGUGGUGAUUCCAAGAAGAGGUAGGGCUCGACUCUUGGUGGUGCGCUCGAAUCAAGGUCAAUGUGACGGAGGGGCGUCGAAGACAGUCAACCUCCGGACGUUGCCUUGCCAGAAAAAUAGAGGUCAGCUGUUGCGGUGGUUUCCACUGAUUUAUGGUGAGGCCACCUCGACUUAUCUUUUUUUUUUGUAAUCUCCUGAUUUUAAGAGUGAAGGAAGAUAUGUAUUUGUUUUGUUGGGUUAGUAUGGUUGUCGCCUGAGCGCAUGUUUGCCUGGCAGGUAUGGGAGCUGCCCAACCUAUUUUGAAGGCUCUUGUUGCUGUGUGGAGGAUGUUUGGCUGGGAGGUGUUGGAGAGUGUUGGGCUUAUGCCCGGAUGAUGGUUGGUAUCUGCCCGUGAGGUUGUUUGGCUCCUGCCCAAAUGGUGACAUGGAAACUAGGAGCUGCCCUUUUUCAGGAGAAGGGUGGCAGCAGAGCUGAUGGAGCUCGGUGUCGUCCUUGGCAGGCUGGCUGCACAGUUGGUUACCUUAUUCUUGUUGUCAGGAAAGGAAGAUAUAGAGGAAGUGUAGGGUUUAUUGUAAUGUUGGGAUGGCUGAUAUGGCUAGAUAGUAGAUAUUUUGUCUUUAUUGGUGUAUACCUACUACUGUAAAUGUAAAGCAAUAAGACGUUUGAACUAAUAAUAUUGUUUGACUUAGUGGGCUUAUGGUUUAUUUUGCAAAAAGUUUAGUUUGUCAGACGUGCUUUUACUUUUGAAUUUACUCUACUUUGUAAAUGUUCACUGUACUUGCAUAUUAAUACCG